CCCUAUGAGGAGUGGCUUAAAGAACUAGGUAUGUUUAGCCUGGAGAAGAGAAGGCUGAGAGGAGACAUGAUAGCCAUGUACAAAUAUGUGAAGGGAAGUCAUAGGGAGGAGGGAGCAAGCUUGUUUUCUGCUGCCCUGCAGACUAGGACACGGAACAAUGGCUUCAAACUACAGGAAAGGAGAUUCCACCUGAACAUCAGGAAGAACUUCCUCACUGUGAGAGCUGUUCGACAGUGGAAGUUCUUCCUGAUGUUCAGGUGGAAUCUCCUUUCCUGUAGUUUGAAGUCAUUGUUCCACGUCCUAGUCUGCAGGGCAGCAGAAAACAAGCUUGCUCCCUCCUCCCUAUGACUUCCCUUCACAUAUUUGUAAAUGGCUAUCAUGUCUCCUCUCAGCCUUCUCUUAUGCAGGCUAAACAUACCUAGUUCUUUAAGCCGCUCCUUGUAGGGCUUGUUCUCCAGACCCUUGAUCAUUUUAGUUGCCCUCCUCUGGACGCUUUCCAGCUUGUCAACAUUUCUCUUCAAUUGCGCUGCCCAGAAUUGGACACAGUAUUCCAGGUGUGGUCUGACCAAGGCAGAAUAGAGGGGUAGCAUGACUUCCCUGGAUCUAGAUGCUAUACCCCUAUUUAUGCAAGCCAGAAUCCCGUUGACGUUUUUAGUGGCCACAUCACAUUGUAGGCUCAUAUUUAACUUGUUUUCCAUGAGGACUCCAAGAUCUUUUUCACACGUACUGCUGUCUAGCCAGGCGUCCCCCAUUCUGUAUCUUUGCAUUCCAUUUUUUCUGCCGAAGUGAAGUAUCUUGCAUUUGUCCCUGUUGAACUUCAUUUUGCUAGUUUUGGCCCAGCUCUCUAAUCUGUCAAGACCGUUUUGAACUCUGCUCCUGUCUUCUGGAGUGUUGGCUAUCCCUCCCGGUUUGGUGUUGUCUGCAAACUUGAUGAUUGUGCCUUCUAACCCUCGUCUAAGUAGUUAAUCCAAUGCUUUUGGAUUAACCCCCCCCCUUCCCGAGGGUCUUCCUCCAGGGGCAAACCAAGAAUGGGCAACUUGGAAGUCCCUGAACAGACUCAGAAGUGGAGUGGGCAGAUCUAAAGACAACUUGGCAAGGUGGCACUACCUGAAGGAAUCCUCCACCUGGUGUGACUGUGGAGCAGAACAAACAACUCCUCAUAUGUAUGCUUGCCCACAAUGUCCUGCCUCAUGCACGGAGGAGGAGUUGUUUAAAGCUACGGAUAAUGUGGUUGCUGUUGCCCGUUUUUGGUCUAAAACUAUUUAGUUGCUUGUGAUUUCCUUUUUUUUCCAUCAUUUUAAAAUGUAUUUGUUAUGCAAUGGUUUUGACAUGAAAUAAAUAAAAGUCGUUAAUAAAGAUGUUGAACAGAACCGGGCCCAGGACGGAGCCCUGCGACACUCCACUCGUGACUUCAUUCCAAGAUGAGGACGACGCAUUGGUGAGCACCCUUUGGGUUCGUUCGCUUAGCCAAUUACAGAUCCACCUAACCGUAGUUUUGUCUAGACCACAUUUUACUAGUUUGUUUGCCAGAAGGUCGUGGGGGACUUUGUCGAAGUCCUUACUGAAAUCCAAGUAGGAUACAUCCACAGCGUAUCGACCCAACUCGUAACUCUAUCGAAAAAAGAGAUCAGAUUAGUCUGGCAUGACUUGGUUUUGGUAAAUCCAUGUUGGCUAUUAGCAAUGACUGCAUUUGUUUCUAGAUGUUUGCAGACCACUUCCUUAAUAAUCUUUUCCAGAAUCUUGCCUGGUAUCGACGUGAGGCUGACCGGACGGUAAUUGUUUGGGUCGUUCUUUUUUCCCUUCUUGAAGAUAGGGACCACAUUUGCCCUCCUCCAAUCUUCUGGGACUUCUCCUGUUCUCUAAGAACUCUCAAAGAUAAUUGCCAGUGGUUCUGAAAUAACUUCCGCUAGUUCCUUCAAUACUCUUGGAUGUAGCUGAUCUGGCCCUGGGGGCUUGAAUUCGUUUAGAGCGGCCAGGUGUUCCUGGACAACUUGUUUCCCUAUUUAGUGUUGGAUUUCCCCUAAUCCUUCGUCCAUUCCAUAUUGAUGAGGUUGAAGAUGGCUUUCUUUUUGUGAGAAGACCAAGGCAAAGAAGGCAUUAAGUAGUUCUGCCUUUCCCCUGUCCCUUGUCACCAUCACCCCAUCUUCUCCUCGCAGAGGCCCUAUCGUCUCCUUGUUCUUCCUUUUUCUACCAAUGUAAGCAAAAAAGCCUUUUUUUGUUGUUUUUAAUGUCCCUGGCAAGCCUAAGUUCAUUUUGCGCUUUAGCCUUGCAAACCUUUUCCCUACAGGAGUUGGCUAUACUACUAUAGAUGCUGUUGAAUUGCAGCUCCCACUAGCUCUUGGCAGCACAACUAAUCUUGAGGAAUGCUAGCAGAUACAGUUCACUAACAUAUUAAAGGUUACACAAUUUACACCCCUGCCAUAUGUGAUAAUGUAGAAUAUUGAUAUCUAAGAAACUGUAUAUCACAAUGCAAUUCAAAUUGAAUCUGGAACAAGAAAAUUAUUCUGCUGUUGAUCAAGCAGUUUAUUAAAGUUCCUUGGAUGCUGAUGCAGUGACAAAUGAAACAAAAUACUGUUCUGUAGUCCCUGUGAAAUCUCCUAAUAUGAAUUACUGCCUCAUUAAAAAGGAGCUAACCCAUAAUAUGAAGUAGCUUUAUGCUACCUAAAAUAGUGCCAUCCAUUUUGCUGUGGUGCUCUAUCAGUCUCUAACUCUCUUCAUACAUACACACACACACACAACUUGGCAGAAAAUUAAAAUUUCAAUGAAUUUAAAUCAUUGCCAUUCAUUUCUAAUAUGAACUGUUAGAGUGCGUGCAAUAAGCACAACUCCUAUGGAUGUACAGGAUAUUUCAGUAUUAUCUUCAUUAAUGAUGAAUAGAUUUUUUUUUCUAGUUUAGUACGUACAGAUUUCAUUAGUUAAUCUUGGAUGUCUUAUUUGUCAAUGAAGCCAUCUAUGAAUAGAUUUUAAGGGCACCAU
rnacentral:lncRNA from 1 species